GGAGCUAUGCCUGAAACAAAGGGUCACUUUGAUAGAGUGAAUCAUGGAGGUUAAAUUCCUCCUAGCUCCU
rnacentral:tRNA from 1 species